UACGUAGGUGGCGAGCGUUGUCCGGAAUCACUGGGCGUAAAGGGCGCGUAGGCGGCUUAUCAAGUCGCAUGUGAAAUACCAGGGCUUAACCCUGGGGGGCCAUGCGAAACUGAUUGGCUUGAGUGCAGUAGAGGAAAGCGGAAUUCCUGGUGUAGCGGUAAAAUGCGUAGAGAUCAGGAGGAACACCGGUGGCGAAGGCGGCUUUCUGGGCUGCAACUGACGCUGAUGCGCGAAAGCGUGGGGAGCAAACAGG
rnacentral:rRNA from 1 species